rnacentral:rRNA from 1 species
UACGAAGGGGGCUAGCGUUGUUCGGAAUUACUGGGCGUAAAGGGCUCGUAGGUGGCCAACUAAGUCAGACGUGAAAUCCCUCGGCUUAACCGGGGAACUGCGUCUGAUACUGGAUGGCUUGAGUUUGGGAGAGGGACGCGGAAUUCCAGGUGUAGCGGUGAAAUGCGUAGAUAUCUGGAGGAACACCGGUGGCGAAGGCGGGUCUCUGGGCAGUAACUGACGCUGAGGAGCGAAAGCGUGGGAGCGAACAGG